CCACAUAGAGUUUUUUGCCAGUAUGAUACCAUGCCUGGUAAUAUCCAAUGUUGCUUAAGAUUGCAUUGGAGACCUACCAUCAUACUGCCUGGGAAUGCCCACUCACAAAGAGGGUCGACUUAAGUUUGUGGAGGAACAAUCUUAACUGGGGUUGUCCCUGACUUUUCCCUGCUUAACUCUGUGACAUUAUUCUAACAGUUUUGAACUGUGCUGUUGUACUCCCUCAUCUGAAUAAAGAGGAACCAGGAUUUUGCCUUGGUAGGUCACAUUGUUCCUCAGUGCAAUGUGGGUAUGAUUUAGUUCUGGAUGAAGCUCAAAUGAGGUUUGGUCAGGAUAUAUGCCCAUAUGUUUGGAACCUCACUGCUUUUGCUGGAAAAAAAAUAGGCUAUAAACCUCAUGAGAAUAGCCUUCCACACAAGAUGUUUAGCAUUUCCUGCUUCCAUUUGGGCCAGAAAUAUUGCAAAGACAACCUCUUUUGGCCUAGCUUCUCCCAUUCUUUGUUUUGAUUGAAAUUUAGAAAUACAGAAGGUCAGAAAAAGAAAAAUAACAGAAGACUGAAAGGAAGUUAAUUUUUUUCCAAAUUUAGUAAAGGUUAGAUUAGGAUUUAGUUUAAGCUUUGGCUGAAACUUUGGCAGGGAGGGGAGGGAAAGGAUGUGUUUAUUUUAACUGAAUUAGUUCAUCUGUCUUUAACAUGAUUAUAUUUAAGUGUGUAUCCAUUUUUAUGACACAGUAUAAAAGAGUCUGUGCUUCUUUUUUAAGAUCUGUGCCUUCUGGGAAAAUUAGGUCUGAGUAUAAAAGCCUGACUGUAAGGCACUGAAGAGAGUUCUGGCAUGCAAGAAGACAGGGAGAAAGAGGUUCUUCCAAAGGCAUGUGGCGAGUCCUGCUUCUUCUUGGAGUCAAAAGCAGGUGCCUCUUAUUCAGAUGGGUGUUUGGUUUUAUUUAAGAAGAUGAGGACAGAAAUGAAAUGUUUCUGGAGCUGGCAAUACAAUAUGCAACCUUUUCUCUUCUAUACCACUUCUUCUAGUGCGGUGACGAAUUCAAGUUGUUCCUGCCUGACCUGUUUAGUGGCGGUAAGUGAAUUUGGUGGAUUCUGUCCAAUUCAUGAUGGACACACAUUCACAUUACAUGGAGCAAACUGGAAUUGGUACUUACAGGUUCUGAAGACUGAAGUGACAUGGCACCUGAACAACCAGCUCAACUACAAGUGGUUGUCCCACAUAGUUAAGAUACAUGGGGUGGCA
rnacentral:lncRNA from 1 species